GCCUGGGUGGCUCAGUCGGUUGAGCAACUGACUUCGGCUCAGGUCACGAUCUCACGGUUUGUGAGUUCGAGCCCCGCGUCGGGCU
rnacentral:tRNA from 1 species